UGAGCGAGCAAAGGUCAAAUCAACCUUUGAGAAGAGUUCGCAAAACAAACGCCCAAGUCUCGCAAGUCAAUCUAGGUUGAUAAGCAUGAUUUGGUGGUCUUGUCUGAUGUGAUGCCACAGGCGAGUCUUGUGAGCCUUGCCCAACCUCCAUGCGGUGGAGAAGCAAAGCUCAAAAACAAGGCAACGCUCUUCGGAGCAAGCCUAAAAAAUCAACAUCAGCUUUGAACCAAACUCGGAUUCAUACAUCUGAUCCAGAUGUAGGUCAGAGAUCACAGUCAAAGCUUGAAAUAAAAUUCAAGUGGAGAGUUUGAUCCUGGCUCAGAACGAACGCUGGCGGCGUGCCUAACACAUGCAAGUUGAGCGCGAAAGGGAGCAAUCCCCGGUAGAGCAGCGCACGGGUGAGUAACACGUGAGUAAUCUUCCUUCGUGUCAGGAAUAACCACUGGAAACGGUGGCUAAUACUCGAUAAG
rnacentral:rRNA from 1 species